GGAUGUGAGGGCGAUCUGGCUACGACAUCUGUCACCCCAUUGAUCGCCAGGGUUGAUUCGGCUGAUCUGGCUGGCUAGGCGGGUGUCCCCUUCCUCCCUCACCACUCCAUGUGCGUCCCUCCCGAAGCUGCGCGCUCGGUCGAAGAGGACGGCCUUCUCCGAAUAGAGACGGACCGGUCUUCGGUCGAGGGUAUACGAGUAGCUGCGCUCCCCUGCUAGAACCUCCAAACAAGCUCUCAAGGUCCUAAUUAUACAUACUGAUUCAUCAGUGAAAGAAUCACAAUUAUAGUAAAUAAUAUCCACCCCAAGUCUUAAGUUGCAGGU
ensembl:misc_RNA 7SK 7SK RNA